AUGGCUGUCGUCAGCUCGUGUCGUGAGAUGUUGGGUUAAGUCCCGCAACGAGCGCAACCCUUGUCCUAUGUUGCCAGCGCGUAAUGGCGGGGACUCGUAGGAGACUGCCGGGGUCAACUCGGAGGAAGGUGGGGAUGACGUCAAGUCAUCAUGCCCCUUACGUCCAGGGCUGCACACAUGCUACAAUGGCCGGUACAACGGGCUGCUAUCCCGCGAGGGGGAGCCAAUCCCAAAAGCCGGUCUCAGUUCGGAUUGGAGUCUGCAACUCGACUCCAUGAAGUCGGAGUCGCUAGUAAUCCCGGAUCAGCAACGCCGGGGUGAAUACGUUCCCGGGCCUUGUACACACCGCCCGUCACACCACGAAAGUCGGUAACACCCGAAGCCGGUGGCCCAACCCUUUUGGGAGGGAGCUGUCGAAGGUGGGAUCGGUGAUUGGGGUGAAGUCGUAACAAGGUAGCCGUACCGGAAGGUGCGGCUGGAUCACCUCCUUUUGAGCACCGAUCUGUCCAUUCGACAGGCGUCCGCACAAGUCCCCUGCAUUCCACAAGCCUGAUCCGACCUGGGUCUGUAGUUCAGGUGGUUAGAGCGCACCCCUGAUAAGGGUGAGGCCGGAGGUUCGAGUCCUCCCAGACCCACCAAGGCAGAGCAAGGCCAGUCGGCCGGUUCUGACGCAAUCAUGGGGCCAUAGCUCAGCUGGGAGAGCACCUGCUUUGCAAGCAGGGGGUCGUCGGUUCGAUCCCGACUGGCUCCACCAGUUUGAUGUGGAAUGCACGCACACUCAAGAAAUUGAAACCGCACGAUGUUGCAGUCGGCGCGGUGUUCUUUGCCAAAUUGGGACGUAAUAUGCGUUUGAGACGAUCUGUCUUACACGUGUCGAAAGAGGCUAAGGCGAAGUAAAUAGAGUGUGGACCAUCCAAUUGCCGGGAAAAGGCGACUUGGGGUUAUAUGGUCAAGCGAAUAAGCGCACACGGUGGAUGCCUUGGCGGUCAGAGGCGAAGAAGGACGUGGCAGCCUGCGAAAAGGGCCGGGGAGCUGGCAGCAAGCUUUGAUCCGGUCAUAUCCGAAUGGGGAAACCCGG
rnacentral:sRNA from 1 species